rnacentral:rRNA from 1 species
CCGAACGGCAGAAGUGGUGAUGGGCGCGUAUUUUCCGCCGGGCUCUUGGCCGGCGUACUUGUGCGCGUUCGUAGGUCAGCGUGGGUUGGGGCGUGGGAGUCGUUCAUGGGAAGGUC